CCUUGGGUAGUUUAUCAAAACGUAGCAUUGAAGCCGCUAAGAUGGUCUUAUGGCCCCGAAGGGC
rnacentral:tRNA from 1 species